rnacentral:rRNA from 1 species
AAUCAACGCUGGCGGCGUGCCUCAGACAUGCAAGUCGAACGCGAAAGUCCCCUUCGGGGGAUGAGUAGAGUGGCGCACGGGUGAGUGACACGUAGGUAAUCUACCUUCGGGUGGGGAAUAACAACCGGAAACGGUUGCUAAUACCGCAUAAUGCAGCGGCACCUAAUGGUGACAGUUGUUAAAGCGGGGGAUCGCAAGACCUCGCGCCUGAAGAGGAGCCUGCGGCGGAUUAGCUAGUUGGCAGGGUAACGGCCUACCAAGGCGACGAUCCGUAGCCGGCCUGAGAGGGCGGUCGGCCACACUGACACUGACAUACGGGUCAGACUCCUACGGGAGGCAGCAGUCGGGAAUUUUGGGCAAUGGGCGAAAGCCUGACCCAGCAACGCCGCGUGAAGGAUGAAAUCCCUCGGGAUGUAAACUUCGCAAGAACGGGGAGAAUAAGCCGGUGUCAACACCACCGGCGAUGACGGUACCGUUUGUAAGCUCCGGCUAACUCCGUGCCAGCAGCCGCGGU